ACUCCAACAUUUCACUCCUUUUCCUGUUAAAGGGGCAUUACCCAAACUAUCCACAUUGAUUAGCUGUAGCGGAUAAGAAUAAUUAUUACUGCAACUUCUUUCUUUUCCCACAGCACUAUCCCAGCCACUGAAGAGCUUCUGUGGUGAUGGCACACCUCUUAUGCCAAAAUUGCAGUGAAAAUAUCAGCAGUAUGUAGCAGGGCGAGCCAAACACAACAAGCUGUCCUCUUUACCUGAAUAGUUGCACUAAAGUGCACUACCCAACAAGGAUCUGCUGUCUCUGAAAGAGCAGCCAGUCCUAGUAUUCAGCUUUAAACUGCCUGGAGUAUAUUGGCCACAAUGACCUAAUGGAUCCUUCUUUCUUCAGGGAAACAAACAUUAAUUGAGUAUGUUUCUCUGAAGAGGAAAUUAGAGGACACAGAAGCGGAAAGAGUUUCUAAGGACAGGAUUGCUUCUGUCUCCAUCCUUUCACACAUUGGGGGAGGACUUUGCACCAGUCAAAUCAAUGGAUGGUUUGAAAGAGUAUGGAGAGAAAGUACUCCCCACGCCUGUGGCCAGAUUGGGGAGGAGCUACCAGCAUAUAUUUUAAAAGUCACUGAUUGGAAAAGUGGGGUCCCAGACCAGCAGAAUUGGAGAACAUUUGCAAUCCAAGCAAAGCCAAAGCGUGCUAGUGGAUGAGACGUGAAAGGGACUAUCGGAAGAUUCAUCUAGUUUUAUUAUUCAAGCUCUGUGGAAAUGCAGAAAGGUAUUUACAAUCCUCCCAGCUUCAGAUCAUCUGCCCAGUCAGUGUACUUUCCAUUACAUCCUCCAAGCUGUUGAAGUAUUCAAUCAGAAAUCCCACUUGGCAC